CAGAAAACCACCAGAAGCUCAGGGAGAGGCCUGGAACAGGCUAUCCCUCACUCCUUCAGGAGGAACCAACGCUACCAACACCUUGAUCUUAGACUUCUAGCUUCCAUAACUCACACAACAGUAACCAUGACACACACUUUCUUGAGCUGAAAUCAGCAGUUUAAAAUGCUGCUUUUACUGGUGGAACAAUCAGGAAGAACAAUUUUCAUCACUGUCAGAAAACAUCAGACCUUCUCUCCUUUCAUUACGUGGGACUAGACACCCAGAGAGCAGCUCUUUGUUAUGCAAUUUGCAAGGUAAGAUCUUACACCAUAAAAUCCUUAUACCUAGGCCCCUUACCUGCCCAGACGAAUUCUCUUGCGUGCAAUAGCUCCACAAUACCGUCUAAAAUCAUCCUUUAUUAAAAAACAAACAAAAAACAACAACAACAAAGUAAAAUCAAUAAAUUUCUAAUACUUUAGUGCUAUAAUCUUAAGUCUCUCUCUUUCCAAGUCAGCUGAAGAAGCUAACUGGGACCCAGUGUCUGUGUGAAUGCUGCUCAGGUGAGAGUUGUCAAUAAGGCAACUGCAAGUAGUUCCCAUGAACGUGGAGCAGCACAGAGAUGCGGAUGUAAAGUGGGAGAAGAGAAUCAGAAAUGGGAAAGGAAGACACUAUGCUUCCAAUAGCAGUGCAUGGCCCAGUUGAGGUGCGAUAGGCAGGGCCCCCAGUGAGACAGUAUAGGGGUAAUAUCUGGACUCCAUCUUGGAGGCCUGACUAUGGCUCCUUGCUUAGGAACCUUCCCAUAGUUGAAAUUAACCUAAUCACAUCCUUAAAGGGAAGAAUGCACAAUAGAUCCCUUCUUAACAUCGUGUUCUGCAAAAUAGUUGCUUUGUCUAUUAAGUGGUAACUAGAAUAUUUGCCCAAGCAUUAUUUUAGGCCCUUUGAGUGGUCCACUGACCAUGGAAAAUAUCUGUGACUACCCCGGGAUCAACCACCGCCAGGUGACGAUCAUGGGACAACUGACCUCCUCCUCAUCCCCAAGCCCGACACCCACCCCAAGCCAUCCACAAGAACCCUCCGGGAGCUCGACCUCUCUUUUCUGGUCAACUCCCUUGUGCACAAGCUCUUUUCAAUAAAUUCUAUCUGCUUGA